GACGAACGCUGGCGGCGUGCUUAACACAUGCAAGUCGAGCGGUAAGGCCCUUCGGGGUACACGAGCGGCGAACGGGUGAGUAACACGUGGGUGACCUGCCCUCAGCUCUGGGAUAAGCCCGGGAAACUGGGUCUAAUACCGGAUAUGACCUUCUGUCGCAUGACGGUUGGUGGAAAGUUCUUCGGCUGGGGAUGGGCCCGCGGCCUAUCAGCUUGUUGGUGGGGUGAUGGCCUACCAAGGCGGNGGACGGGUAGGCCGGCCUGAGAGGGCGACCGGCCACACU
rnacentral:rRNA from 1 species